AUGCUCUGGUUUCUCUUCAGAUUGAAUAAAGCUUUCACCUUUACUAAAAUUUUCUGUGGAGAAGAUCAUCCAUGAGUUUUUACUAAUUUUUUGACACUCUGCUCCUUGCUGGGCU